AGUGAACGCUGGCGGUAGGCCUAACACAUGCAAGUCGAACGGCAGCACAGAGGAGCUUGCUCCUUGGGCGGCGAGUGGCGGACGGGUGAGGAAUACAUCGGAAUCUACUCUGUCGUGGGGGAUAACGUAGGGAAACUUACGCUAAUACCGCAUACGACCUACGGGUGAAAGCAGGGGAUCUUCGGACCUUGCGCGAUUGAAUGAGCCGAUGUCGGAUUAGCUAGUUGGCGGGGUAAAGGCACACCAAGGCGACGAUCCGUAGCUGGUCUGAGAGGAUGAUCAGCCACGCUGGAACUGAGACACGGUCCAGACUCCUACGGGAGGCAGCAGUGGGGAAUAUUGGACAAUGGGCGCAAGCCUGAUCCAGCCAUACCGCGUGGGUGAAGAAGGCCUUCGGGUUGUAAAGCCCUUUUGUUGGGAAAGAAAUCCAUCUGGUUAAUACCCGGGUGGGAUGACGGUACCCAAAGAAUAAGCACCGGCUAACUUCGUGCCAGCCGCCGCAGUAA
rnacentral:rRNA from 1 species